GGAGGGGUGGCUGAGUGGUUGAAAGCGGCAGAUUGUAAAUCUGUUAAGUUCAUCUUAUCGUAGGUUCGAAUCCUACCCCCUUCA
rnacentral:tRNA from 1 species